rnacentral:rRNA from 1 species
AACGAACGCUGGCGGCAGGCCUAACACAUGCAAGUCGAGCGGACCCUUCGGGGUUAGCGGCGGACGGGUGAGUAACGCGUGGGAAUAUGCCCUUCUCUACGGAAUAGUCCUGGGAAACUGGGGGUAAUACCGUAUACGCCCUUUGGGGGAAGGAUUUAUCGGGGAAGGAUUAGCCCGCGUUGGAUUAGGUAGUUGGUGGGGUAAUGGCCUACCAAGCCGACGAUCCAUAGCUGGUUUGAGAGGAUGAUCAGCCACACUGGGACUGAGACACGGCCCAGACUCCUACGGGAGGCAGCAGUGGGGAAUCUUAGACAAUGGGGGCAACCCUGAUCUAGCCAUGCCGCGUGAGUGAUGAAGGCCUUAGGGUUGAAAAGCUCUUUCAGCUGGGAAGAUAAUGACGGUACCAGCAGAAGAAGCCCCGGCUAACUCCGUG